rnacentral:rRNA from 1 species
UACGAAGGGGGCUAGCGUUGUUCGGAAUUACUGGGCGUAAAGGGCGCGCAGGCGGUCGUUCAAGUCAGGCGUGAAAGCCCCGGGCUCAACCUGGGAAUAGCGCUUGAGACUGAGUGACUUGAGUUCGGGAGAGGAGAGCGGAAUUCCCAGUGUAGAGGUGAAAUUCGUAGAUAUUGGGAGGAACACCAGUGGCGAAGGCGGCUCGCUGGACCGGUUCUGACGCUGAUGCGCGAAAGCGUGGGGAGCAAACGGG